rnacentral:rRNA from 1 species
GGCGGUCCUGCCGCCGCGAGGGGAUGGGGCUGCGUCCUAUUAGCUAGUUGGUGAGGUAACGGCUCACCAAGGCUUCGAUGGGUAGCUGGUCUGAGAGGACGGCCAGCCACAUUGGGACUGAGAUACGGCCCAGACUCCUACGGGAGGCAGCAGUGGGGAAUCUUGGCCAAUGGACGAAGGUCUGAGCCAGCGACACCGCGUGGGGGAUGACGGCCUUCGGGUUGUAAACCCCUUUUCUGGGGAAAGAAUAAGGACGGGAGGAAAUGCCCGCCCGAUGACGGUACUCCAGGAAUAAGCAUCGGCUAACUCUGUGCCAGCAGCCGCGGUAAGACAGAGGAUGCGAGCGUUAUCCGGAAUUACUGGGCGUAAAGGGCGUCUAGGCGGUUCGGUAAGUCGUUUGUGAAAUCCCUUGGCUCAACCGAGGAGAGUCUUGCGAUACUGCCGGGCUUGGGUGUAGGAGAGGAGGGUGGAACUCACAGAGUAGCGGUGGAAUGCGUAGAUACUGUGAGGUACCCCGAUGGCGAAGGCAACCCUCUGGCCUACUACCGACGCUGAAGCGCGAAAGCGUGGGGAGCAAAGGGGAUUAGAUACCCCCGUAGUCCACGCCCUGAACAAUGUUCACUUGGUGUCGGCCGCUUAUACUGGUCGGUGCCGAAGCUAACGCGUUAAGUGAACCGCCUGAGGAGUACGGCCGCAAGGCUAAAACUCAAGAGAAUUGACGGGUCCCUGCACAAGCGGUGGAGCACGUGGUUUAAUUCGACGAUAAACGAAGAACCUCACCCAGGCUUGACAUACUAGUGGUAGAAACCUGAAAGGGGGCCGACCCUGCCUUCGGGUAGGGAGCUAGUACAGGUGAUGCAUGGCUGUCGUCAGCUCGUGUCGUGGGAUGUUGGGUUCAGUCCCGAAACGAGCGCAACCCUUGUCGUUAGUUGCCAGCGGGUAAUGCCGGGGACUCUAACGAGACUGCUGGUGAAUAGCCGGAGGAAGGCGGGGAUGACGUCAAGUCAUCAUGUCCCUUAUGCCUGGGGCGACACACAUGCUACAAUGGGGGGUACAAAGGGUCGCAAUCCCGUAUGGGGGAGCCAAUCCAUAAAAACCCCUCUCAGUUCGGAUUGAGGUCUGCAACUCGACCUCAUGAAGCCGGAAUCGCUAGUAAUCGCGGGUCAGCCAUACCGCGGUGAAUAUGUACUCAGGGAUUGUACACACCGCCCGUCACACCAACCGAGUGGGGGGUACCUGAGGUCGCUCUUCUAAGGGCGCCUAGGGUAACUUCCGCAAGAGGGGUGAAGUCGUAACAAGGUA